rnacentral:rRNA from 1 species
GACGAACCGAGCGAACGUUGUUCGGAAUCACUGGGCUUAAAGCGCACGUAGGCGGACUCUUAAGUCGGUGGUGAAAUCCUGGAGCUCAACUCCAGAACUGCCUCCGAUACUGGGAGCCUUCGAGUCCGGGAGAGGUGAGUGGAACUGCGAGUGUAGAGGUGAAAUUCGUAGAUAUUCGCAAGAACACCAGUGGCGAAGGCGGCUCACUGGCCCGGUACUGACGCUGAGGUGCGAAAGCGUGGGGAGCAAACAGG